UACGUAGGUGGCGAGCGUUGUCCGGAUUUAUUGGGUUUAAAGGGUGCGUAGGCGGCCUAUUAAGUCAGUGCUGAAAUAUCCCGGCUUAACCGGGAGGGUGGCAUUGAUACCGAUGGGCUAGAGUACAGAUGAGGUAGGCGGAAUUGACGGUGUAGCGGUGAAAUGCAUAGAUAUCGUCAAGAACACCGAUAGCGAAGGCAGCUUACUAAGUUGUAACUGACGCUGAGGCACGAAAGUGUGGGGAUCAAGCAGG
rnacentral:rRNA from 1 species